rnacentral:rRNA from 1 species
CCUGGUUGAUCCUGCCAGUAGUCAUAUGCUUGUCUCAAAGAUUAAGCCAUGCAUGUCUAAGUACACACUUUGGUAAAAGUGAAACCGCGAAUGGCUCAUUAAAUCAGCUACAAUUUAUUAGAUCGUACACUGUUACUUGGAUAACUGUGGGAAUUCUAGAGCUAAUACAUGCCGAGAGUCUCUGCUCUUCGGGGCAGAGCGCAGUUAUUAGACCAAAACCAGCCGUAUUCUUCGGGGUACGCUCUUUUGGUGACUCUGGAUAACCUUCAGCCGAUCGCAUGGCCUCGUGCCGGCGACGUAUCUUUCAAGUGUCUGCCCUAUCAACUUUCGAUGGUACGUGAUAUGCCUACCAUGGUGAUAACGGGUAACGGGGAAUCAGGGUUCGAUUCCGGAGAGGGAGCCUGAGAAAUGGCUACCACAUCCAAGGAUGGCAGCAGGCGCGCAAAUUACCCACUCCCAGCUUGGGGAGGUAGUGACGAAAAAUAACAAUGCGGGACUCUAAGAGGCCCCGUAAUUGGAAUGAGUACACCUUAAAUCGUUUAACGAGUAUCAAUUGGGGGGCAAGUCUGGUGCCAUCAGCCGCGGUAAUUCCAGCUCCAAUAGCGUAUAUUAAAGUUGCUGCAGUUAAAAAGCUCGUAGUUGGAUCUGGGGCUUGAGGUCGCUGUCUAUCGUUUCGGCGAUGACGGUGAUGCUCAGCUCUGCUUGCCGGUGACUGUUGCGGUGUUCUUCACUGAGCGCUGUAGCAGCACGGCACGUUUACUUUGAAAAAAUUAGAGUGCUCAAAGCGUGCUUGUCGCUUGAAUAAUGUUGCAUGGAAUAAUGGAAUAGGACCUCGGUUCUAUUUUGUUGGUUUUCGGAGCUUGAGGUAAUGAUUAAGAGGGACGAACGGGGGCAUUCGUAUUGCGGUGUUAGAGGUGAAAUUCUUGGAUCGCCGCAAGACGGACUACUGCGAAAGCAUUUGCCAAGAACGCUUUCAUUAAUUAAGAACGAAAGUCAGAGGUUCGAAGACGAUCAGACACCGUCCUAGUUCUGACCAUAAACGAUGCCGACCAGCGAUCCGUAGUGGUUGCUUUAUGGACCCUACGGGCAGCCUCCGGGAAACCAAAGUAUUUGGGUUCCGGGGGAAGUAUGGUUGCAAAGCUGAAACUUAAAGGAAUUGACGGAAGGGCACACCAGGAGUGGAGCCUGCGGCUUAAUUUGACCCAACACGGGAAAACUCACCCGGUCCGGACACCGUAAGGAUUGACAGACUGAUAGCUCUUUCUUGAUUCGGUGGAUGGUGGUGCAUGGCCGUUCUUAGUUGGUGGAGUGAUUUGUCUGGUUAAUUCCGAUAACGAACGAGACUCUAGCCUGCUAAGUAGUGUUGCUAUUGUUAUAUGGUUGACACUUCUUAGAGGGACAAGUGGCAUUUAGCCACGCGAAAUUGAGCAAUAACAGGUCUGUGAUGCCCUUAGAUGUCCGGGGCCGCACGCGCGCUACACUGGAGAAGUCAGCGUGUGUUAUCCAAGUCCGAAAGGACUGGGUAAUCCGUUGAACCUUCUUCGUGCUUGGGACUGUGGCUUGGAACUAUUCCACAUGAACGAGGAAUUCCUAGUAAUUGCAAGUCAUAAGCUUGCGUUGAUUACGUCCCUGCCCUUUGUACACACCGCCCGUCGCUACUACCGAUUGAAUGGUUUAGCAAGGUCCUCGGAUCGUGGCCGUAGGGGCACGCAAGUGUUUCUGCGGUUUGCGAGAAGACGACCAGACUUGAUCAUUUAGAGGAAGUAAAAGUCGUAACAAGGUU